rnacentral:rRNA from 1 species
UACGUAGGGACCAAGCGUUGUCCGGAAUUAUUGGGCGUAAAGAGCUCGUAGGCGGCUGUCCACGUCGGAUGUGAAAGCUCAGGGCUCAACCCUGAGAUGCCAUUCGAUACGGGACGGCUAGAGGUAGGUAGGGGAAAGUGGAAUUCCUGGUGUAGCGGUGAAAUGCGCAGAUAUCAGGAGGAACACCGGUGGCGAAGGCGGCUUUCUGGGCCUUACCUGACGCUGAGGAGCGAAAGCUGGGGGAGCAAACAGG